CAAUGAUGAUCCUUCUAGAUGACGAGUCCGAAAUCUUGGCUGCAAAGUUUCUUUGCCGCGAGGACCAUGACGAGUCUUACUCUUUUAUACCAUUCAUGCAUAUCUGAUC
rnacentral:snoRNA from 1 species